AUAAAUAAUUGUUAGUGGCAGACGGGUGAGUAAUGCGUAGGAAUCUACCUAGUAGUAUGGAAUAGCCAUUAGAAAUGAUGGGUAAUACUGUAUAAUCCCUGCGGGGGAAAGAUUUAUCGCUAUUAGAUGAGCCUACGUUAGAUUAGCUAGUUGGUAAGGUAAUGGCUUACCAAGGCUAUGAUCUAUAGCUGGUCUGAGAGGACGAUCAGCCACACUGGAACUGAGAUACGGUCCAGACUCCUACGGGAGGCAGCAGUGGGGAAUAUUGGACAAUGGGCGAAAGC
rnacentral:rRNA from 1 species